CGGUUUCGACUCGGGUCGGUAGACCCAGGAGAAGCGGGCCGAGAAUCCAGGGUCAACUCGUUAAUGUUCCCUGGAAACCAAUAAGUGCCAAGUCUGAACGCACUGACUUCGCUCUCGCUGCCUGAUCAGUGAUCGAAGGGUCAGCCCGGGCGUGCCUUCGUCCCGGAAUCUGGCCUCAUCAAGAAGGCUCACCUGUUAGGAGUGGUCCCAGGACCUAACGGGAACAUCAACUGAGACUGGGCCUGUCUGCAACGUGCUGGCGCGAGUGCAGGGGCCGAGAAAACGACUUUCACCAGCUGCGCCCGGAGAAGUCCUGGAUCGUCGCUCGAGGACGCGGGUUCGAUUCCCGC
rnacentral:tmRNA from 14 species